UCCCCCGCAACCGAGACGCGACGGGACGGAACGGGACGGGAUGGGGGGAAAUAGCCGAGUCACGGCCUAGAGCCCGUGACGGCAGGGCGGGGUAGCUACCGCCCGUCUCGGGCAGGGUACCUCGCGCUCUGUCAGGGACGGUCUCCAAUGCCAGAUGCCUUCCUCCUUUCAGCCUACUUGGAAUACAAAGGUCUAUGUAAAUAUACCCUCUGACUGCAGCUGCUGUGGAAAAAGAAGAAAUUAUAAGGAAGGUAAGAAACCUUCCUUUGUUUUGGUGAUUUCUCAUUAGAGGUUUCACUUUCUUAAGAAUCCCAUCUCAUCAUCCUACUUCUCCCA
rnacentral:lncRNA from 1 species